GCUGCAACGGUAGAAGACUGAGAAAUCAGAGCCGGAGCGGAGGGCCACCGCUUGGUGCUUUUGGGGUCCGGCGGUGUUCUCAAAAGUGAUGUCACGAGCUAUGAAGCCAUCACCAACGACGGCUGAAAGAAGAAACGAACGAACGAUUUCUUUUGGCACCGCCAGCCGCCGCCACCGCCUCUGAUAUAGUCUUGAAGUUGCCAGAACCAUCUUGAGCCACCACAAUGUCAGCAUUUAACGGUGCACCGAUUUUUUGCAAGAGCUUUCGGUCGGCACCGGAAAGCCAAGUGGGGAAUCCAUGAGCAAACAGGCGUCUAUUGCCAACUUGUUUAGCGGUAACACUAAUAGUGGGCUUAUUGAUGGCCAGGGAAUUGCUAAUCAACUUGGAAAAGUUGGCUAGCAUGGGUGGUAAAGUUUGUAAAUGAGAGGCCAAGUUGAAGUCAAUGAAGCCGUUUUGACAAGUUUGAUGGUUGGCAAUGGCAGCACUUAACCAGGUUUGAGCAUCUAAUGGACUGUUGGUGCUCUUUGAUCGGUUAAGAUGGGAAAUGGUGUUCUGGUAGAGCUCAAGCAAUCGUUCCAAGCCAAUUUGGCUCGCUCAUUGAAAGAAGUCAAGUCCAUGGUAGAGACGAGGCGAUGAGCUUGAACCGCUUGGUUUAGGGUGACCUGAAUCGCAAGGUCACGGAAGGAGAAGCGGGUUUGAUCAAGGGCAAGGCUUGAUGUUGCAACAUUAACACCAUUUCCCAUGAAAUGGUUGCAGACAUCGGGGUAGGGUGUUUGGGUACAUGAUGUUAUUGUAGCUGCAGCGUUCCCUAGGGGAACACAAGUGAAGAAAUAAGUAAUGAGAAAUGGUAGGGCAAGAAGCUUAUCCAUGAAGACGAUCAGUUUUAGCUCUAAAGUUGGGAAUGUUUGAAUUGAUGAAAAGAGGGGGAGGGAAGAGUGGUUUAUAUAGAGCUACAAAAAAGUGGGAGAAAGCAUGAAUUGUGAAGGGGGAUCAAUUUCCUCAUUUGCUGGGGCCUGGGGGCUUGCUUUGUGGCUCAGGGCAUUUGUAUGGUUUGUUUCUUUAUUUUAUUUUGUUAAUACUAUGGACAUAAUAAAAAAUAUAUUAAUAAUAAGAGGGUGAAGACAUUGACUCAUAAGUCUUGCCUAUUUCUAACUUUAGACACUUGGGUUUGGUAUAAAAGAAUUUUGUUCCAA